AUGCUUGCUAAGGUAACAUCUAGUGAGCCUCAUGUGGAUACUAGCACUACAUCUAGUCAAAGUGCUAUAUUGCCAUGUGCUAGUCCUUGUAAUUCAUCUACUCACAAUGUUGGUACAUCUUGUGAUGAAUUGCUUUCCUUGCCUUGUUGCCCAAACGAUGAAGCUUAUACUUUCUCUAGUACUUGUGUUGAGACUAACCAUGUAGAGGAAAUCAAAGAGCUCAAGGCCCAAGUCACUUCUUUGAAGAAAGACUCGGAAAAGUGUCAUGAAGGGAAGGCCACACUCAACAAUAUCUUGAGUGUGCAAAAAUCCCCCAAUGACAAAGGUGGACUUGGAUUCAACUCCAAUAAGAAGAAGAAGUCCAAGGGCAACAAGAAGUAG
rnacentral:rRNA from 1 species